rnacentral:antisense_RNA from 2 species
GCCAAUGGUGGGCAACAUGGGCAACCUUCGGGUUGGCCGCGUGUCUCUGUGCGGUAUUGCUACCCCAUGUUUGCCCGCCUCCUUA